GGAGAAGUACUCAAGUUGGUGAAGAGGCGCCCCUGCUAAGGGUGUAGGUCGGGAAACCGGCGCGAGAGUUCAAAUCUCUCCUUCUCCG
rnacentral:tRNA from 1 species